CAGUAGCCGCGGUAAUACGAAGGGGGCUAGCGUUGUUCGGAAUGACUGGGCGUAAAGGGCGCGUAGGCGGCGAUCAAAGUCAGGCGUGAAAUUCCUGGGCUCAACCUGGGGGCUGCGUUUGAUACUUGAUUGCUAGAGUGGGGAAGAGGGUCGUGGAAUGCCCAGUGUAGAGGUGAAAUUCGUAGAUAUUGGGAAGAACACCGGUGGCGAAGGCGGCCAUCUGGUACAACACUGACGCUGAGGCACGAAAGCGUGGGGAGCAAACAGGAUUAGAUACCCCAGUAGUCCCUGUCUCUUAUAC
rnacentral:rRNA from 1 species